AGAAGGGCUAGCCCGGAGACAGGAGGGGGAGGUCCGAGGAGGGGAUCCCGGCGAGGGAGACGCGGGGCGAGUGGCCUGGGCUCCUCCUUGGCUUGACCCAGCUUAGACUUUCUCAAACCGAAGUCAUUCUCGCUGGCUCCUGGCGACUCUCAUCCUGUCCGCUGUCACCCUUUCGUGAUUGACCUGAAAUCACUUCGUCACUGCAGCCGCACCCUAAGCAUUCAUCUCAUAUCUGUGAUGUUUGCUGUGCUCCUUAUGUUUGCUCUAAUAUGGGUUAAACCAAAUUCAACACCAUCAAAAUAAUGUUCUUCCAUUUGCACACCCACUUUCACAGUAGCAGCGUUCCCAACAGCCAAAAGGUGGGAGCAGCCCACGGGUCCACGGACGGGUGAAGGGGUGAGCAAACAGUCUAUACGGACAGUGGAGAGCUCUUUAACCGCAGAAAGAAGGAAAUUCUGCAUAUGCUGCAACAUGGAUGAAAGGUGAACCCUGACAUUAUGCGGAGUGCAAUAAGCUAGUCACAAAAAGACAAAUACUGUAGGAUUCCACUUACAUUCUGUGUCCAGAGUAGUCAAAUUCAGAGAGACAGGAAGUAGAAUAGUGGUUGCCAGGGGCUGGGAGGAGCCGUGAAUGGGGAGGUAUUGUUUAAUGGGUAUGGAGUUUCGGCUUAGAUUGAACUGUACGCUUUUUUUUUCCUUCCUUCCUUCCUUCCUUCCUUCCUUCCUUCCUUCCUUCCUUCCUUCCUCCCUCCCUGCCUCCUUUCUUCUUUCCUUCCUUCUUUCUUUUCCUUCCUUCCUUCCUC
rnacentral:lncRNA from 1 species